rnacentral:rRNA from 1 species
CACAUGACUCUCGGCAACGGAUAUCUCGGCUCUCGCAUCGAUGAAGAACGUAGCAAAAUGCGAUACAUGGUGUGAAUUGCAGA